rnacentral:pre_miRNA from 1 species
AGAUUUAUGAAUUGGUGCAGAGAUUUCGUCAGACACCAUGUCACUCGGAGUGAUAAGACUUCCAAAAUAAGUGAAGUG